GCUGGGCAUGUUGGUGUGUGCCUGUAGUCCCAGCUACUUAGGAGGCUGAGGCAGAAGAAUUGCUUGAACCCAGGAGGUGGAGGUUGCAGUGAGCUAAGAUCGUGCCACUGCACUCUAGCCUGGGUGACAGAGUGAGACUCUGUCUCAA
rnacentral:SRP_RNA from 1 species